rnacentral:rRNA from 1 species
GACGAACGCUGGCGGCGUGCCUAAUACAUGCAAGUCGAACGAAGCUGUUUUAACUGGUGCUUGCACCGACUUAAACAACUGAGUGGCGAACGGGUGAGUAACACGUGGGUAACCUGCCCCAAAGCGGGGGAUAACAUUUGGAAACAGGUGCUAAUACCGCAUAAUCACAGAAACCACAUGGUUUCUGUGUCAAAGAUGGUUUCGCCUAUCACUUUGGGAUGGACCCGCGGCGUAUUAGCCUGUUGGUAAGGUAAUGGCUUACCAAGGCAAUGAUACGUAGCCGAACUGAGAGGUUGAUAGGCCACAUUGGGACUGAGACACGGCCCAAACUCCUACGGGAGGCAGCAGUAGGGAAUCUUCCACAAUGGACGAAAGUCUGAUGGAGCAACGCCGCGUGAGUGAAGAAGGUUUUCGGAUCGUAAAACUCUGUUGUCAGAGAAGAACGUGUGCGAGAGUAACUGUUCGUGCAGUGACGGUAUCUGGCCAGAAAGCCACGGCUAACUACGUGCCAGCCGCCGCCGUAA